CCCAGUUGUUGUAACAGGUUUGGCACAAGCUGUUAACAACUUGUAACAAGCUUGAUGGCAUUAUCAGACUUGUUGCAAGGUUGUUCUUAUUAGUCUGAUACAGUCAUGAAGUAACAAGAAUGUUACAAGGUUGUAACAAUAUUGUUAUAUCAUGACUGUACCAGGUCUGAUAACAAGUCUGAUAAUAUCAACAGGGUUGUCACAAGUUGUUACCAACUUGUUACAAACAUGUUUACAACUUGCGGCAAGCAGUGCGAACACAACUUGUUGACAAACUUGCUACAAGAUGUGAGAUUUUUACGUGUGUAGUCGAGUACUUGACUGAGAAUGUCAAAGAAUGUCGUUGAUUUCUCAUGGUUGCAGCAAAACUGGAUAAUUUUCUGAGCAUAAUUUUAUUUACAAAAUCAACUGGUUACAUAAUGUUGACAAAAAGCCAGACCUCUUCAACAAAGUUAAGCAAUAACUAUUGUUCCAUUUGCUGUUCUUACAGUCUUCGCAUAUAUUAGUUCUAUCUAUUUUAAAAGGUUAUAUAUAAUUGGAUUACUAAUAUAGUAUGUCAGUAUUCGUUAACAACUGUCAAAAUUCCAAAUUUUCCUAAUUAACAACAACUGCAGAAGCAAGUAUCCUUGCCUCAGCCAUUGGGGGUAAUCUCUUCCAAGAAUUUGAUAAAAAGUUGAAACAAUCCACUGCAGCAGGGUCGUCUUUCGCACCACCAAUUACGAUGAGCGUGUUUCCACGACAAACACACGAACAAUAAGCUCGUUCCGUUUUCAUGGUCAAUAGGACCUUGCUCUGGCCAGUUUCGAAAUCGUAUUCGAUAAUCUUUUUGC
rnacentral:lncRNA from 1 species